UCUGUACAAUAUAUUUUGCUUUUCAGGCCAAGUUUUCUGCCAUAAAGGCAUAGCGCAUUGUCUUCGGAAGCAUCAAAUGGACUUAGAUGGAGACAAGGGGAAGGAUGACUUGGGCACCCGUCUAUUUGGAAUAGGAGGAAACAACUGAGAUGAAUCAUCUGCCCUUGGGAAAAGACCCCACGGUUACUACGCCUAACAAGCAUGGCUAAUCACGCCCUUCAUAAAUGAUCUCAGG
rnacentral:lncRNA from 13 species